rnacentral:rRNA from 1 species
UACGUAGGGUGCGAGCGUUAAUCGGAAUUACUGGGCGUAAAGCGUGCGCAGGCGGUCUGUUAAGACCGAUGUGAAAUCCCCGGGCUUAACCUGGGAACUGCAUUGGUGACUGGCAGGCUUUGAGUGUGGCAGAGGGAGGUAGAAUUCCACGUGUAGCAGUGAAAUGCGUAGAGAUGUGGAGGAAUACCGAUGGCGAAGGCAGCCUCCUGGGCCACUACUGACGCUGAGAAGCGAAAGCAUGGGGAGCGAACAGG